UCAAGAUAUUUUAGCAUCUUGUGCAUCCCAUCAUAAUUGGCGACAAGAGUUCGUGUUUGGCGUCGGCGUCGGCGUCGGGAUGUGCGUCCGUCCCAUCUUUCACAGGCUCAUUGCCGAGCCCGUGCCAGAAGACCAAGAAGAAAUUAAUUAAUUGCCACCAAUUGGUCCCAUUUCUUCACAAGUUUUUCCUUCGUUUAUUGUUGUUGUAGAGAGCGGCUCAUAAUUGCUUAUUCUGGCUCCAUCCAAAUUGUUCGGGCCACAAAUCUUGUUUUCCGGCCCCACCAACCCAGGCGCCAGCCAUUAACCAUGUUGUUGGAAUCAGUGCUUAAAACUUUUUUCAAGCCCUUAGUUCCGACUUUCGCUUGACUUCCGACUUGGGCAGGCGGGGCCCAGGACCGGUUUCGGGAACGGGUUCCAUAUGUUACCCCUCGGGUUCAAGCUAUGGUUACCAUCUCCACUUGCAAAUAUCACUCAGGAGUGUUAAUUCACGAAAGUAAAUGCUGAACACCGGAAUGGUGUGAAAGCUGCUAUUGAUAUUUUGUGCUAGAAUUUAGUAUUGAUUUCAUUGGGUGUUAUAUUAAUAAAGAGUUGCUGAUCACAACAUGUACGGAAUCUAUUACAUAAGUCAGCAUUCUCAUCUGGUGUGGCAGAGUUGUUUCUCAUCCAGAUUAAAGUUGGGGAGGAACACGUGUCGUAAAUGGACACAUUUGAACAAAAUGUUGAUUAGUGAUACUUAACGAGGGCAGAAUUUAACCAAGGCGACCGUGGACCAUUCAACUCGGGUUUGGGGACAACAUACUAAGGAACGGAAUCCCAUUUCCUCUUGGUAUUGUUCCAUUUUGAGCGGACGACGACGACGGUGAUGAUGAUGAUGAUGACGAUGAUGAUGACGAUGAAGCUAGUGGUGAUAAGAGGGAAAAUGAGUUCCAAAUGAAAGAAAUGAUCUUUUGUCUGAUGAUCCCGGCCAGAUUGUUAAUGAGAAGAUGGCCACCUUCCUCCUUUUCCUACUCACCUCCUAUCAUGGGUUCCAAAUGGAUCGCCCAGAGACCAACAGAGUACAUAUAUGGCCGUCGCUUUUUCACAAGAUAUAGCCAAGCAAUACGUGCAUUUUACAAUUUGUGAAGAUUAAACUUGCAACUCACACAA